GGUUGUUUAGCUCAGUUGGUAGAGCGCUUCUUUUACACAGAAGAGGUCGGGGGUUCGAGCCCCUCAACAACCA
rnacentral:tRNA from 1 species